CACCUAUCAUCGCUCGAAAAAAAGGAGAACAGACUGCCGCCAGACAAACACGUUCCGCUCGAGCCCUCGCUCCCGAUCAUCACCUCCCCACCCUUCACCACCCGGUUCGUUGCCAACGCACAUCCCACGCCCCAUCUCCCCCAACCGCUUGACUCCACUUCGAUCUCCCCGCACAGAAAAAUCGCCACCCCGCCUCGCCCUGACACCAAUCUACCACGACGAAUCGCCCUUCUCGGCCGCCGCCCACGGUUUGUUUCCAUCGUUCCCUCGUGCCUCCCCUUGUUCUCAUGGUUGGGGUCAGUGUGGGAGGAGGCCCGGGGAAACCAUAGGGUCUCACACAGGACCGAAAGGAGAGGUGGCAGCACCGGUGAGCUCACAACCGUCGUGCACGUCGACAAUGGUGAAGGCGAGACUGGCGUCCACACACGGCGAUGAUGUCGCAGAUCCACAAGAUCAGAUGCAGGCAAUUCUAAGGCUCUUCUAUAAUCUCGUCUCUUCUUCCUUUCUGCCUUCUCUAUCGCGAUCUGCUCGUGUAUGUCCUACGAUUAGUUGUUGACUGGUGUGCCGCUCUGGAUCUUGGUUGUAGGCCGGUGAUGACCACUGUCUCGGAUUCCUUCUUCGAGGUCCCCAGAUUUCUUAAUAAGGUGUGUGAUUGAUCGUCCGAGUUACUCUGGAUGUGGCUGGUGCUCGCGGUAGCGGCAGAGUGGCGUGCGUGAGCGCGGCGUAGGCAACGGCCAAAGCCGCGUCAGUCGUUGUGAGCACGCCGUCCAGGCGACACAUCAAGUUCGACAGUGUUCCCUCCAAACUCCUAAGGGGACAGAGUGCAUCUUGCAAGAACUUAAUCUAUUUCUUUGCACGAAGCUUCCGGCCGGAAGCCCCACUUUACAUUUUGCAAAGGAUGUGACUUGCAGUGCAGCAACACUGUUUCAGUAACCUCUCCUGCUUACAUUGAUCGCCAAUGUCUUUGCCGUAUGUGCCAUCUUGCUGCUAUCUGAUCAGUGUCAUCACCACGCUGACGCUUGCCGUUGUUAGAUCUAUCAACAUGCGUCCAUUGCUCCAUUACGUUGAUUUCUUUUUUUCCAAUAUAUGUUGCACAAGACUCUAGGAGCCAGGAUUAUUAUGACUGAUGUCGUACU